rfam:Brachypodium distachyon strain Bd21 chromosome 4, whole genome shotgun sequence.
GGAUGCGAUCAUACUAGCAUGAAAGCGUCGGAUCCCAUCAGAACUUCGAAGUUAAGCGUGCUUGGGCGUUAUUACUACUAUGAUGGGAGACCUUCUGGGAAGGCCUCGUGUUGCAUUCA